rnacentral:rRNA from 1 species
GAUGAACGCUGGCGGCGUGCCUAAUACAUGCAAGUCGAGCGAACAGACGAGGAGCUUGCUCCUCUGACGUUAGCGGCGGACGGGUGAGUAACACGUGGAUCACCUACCUAUAAGACUGGGAUCACUUCGGGAAACCGGAGCUAAUACCGGAUAAUAUAUUGAACCGCAUGGUUCAAUAGUGAAAGACGGUGUUGCUGUCACUUAUAGCUGGAUCCGCGCCGCAUUAGCUAGUUGGUAAGGUAACGGCUUACCAAGGCAACCAUGCGUAGCCGACGUGAGAGGGUGAUCGGCCACACUGGAACUGAGACACGGUCCAGACUCCUACGGGAGGCAGCAGUAGGGAAUCGGCCGCAAUGGGCGAAAGCCUGACGGAGCAACGCCGCGUGAGUGAUGAAGGUCUUCGGAUCGUAAAACUCUGUUAUUAGGGAAGAACAAAUGUGUAAGUAACUAUGCACGUCUUGACGGUACCUAAUCAGAAAGCCACGGCUAACUACGUG